GGACUACCGGGGUAUCUAAUCCGUUUUGCUCCCCACGCUUUCAUGCCUCAAUGUCAGGAACAGAAUAGUUAACUGCCUUCGCUUAUUUCGGUGUUCCUCUGUAUAUCUAAGCAUUUCACCGCUCCACACAGAAUUCCGUCAACCUCCUCUGCCCUCAAUUAUUAUAGUAUUAUUAGCCGCCAGAAGUUGAGCUUCUAUUUUCUACUAAUAACUUAUAAUAACAUCUACGCAUCCUUUACGCCCAAUAAAUCCGGAUAACGUUCGCCACCUAUGUCUUACCGCGGCUGCUGGCAC
rnacentral:rRNA from 1 species